rnacentral:rRNA from 1 species
CAGAGGUCCCGAGCGUUGUUCGGAUUCACUGGGCGUAAAGGGUGCGUAGGUGGUGAGGUAAGUCGGAUGUGAAAUCUCCGGGCUCAACCCGGAAAUGGCAUUGGAAACUACCUUGCUGGAGGAUCUGAGGGGGGAUUGGAAUACUUGGUGUAGCAGUGAAAUGCGUAGAUAUCAAGUGGAACACCAGUGGCGAAGGCGAAUCCCUGGAAAAUACCUGACACUGAGGCACGAAAGCUAGGGGAGCAAACAGGAUUAGAUACCCUGGUAGUCCUAGCCCUAAACGGUGCUUGCUUGCUGUAAGAGGAAUCGACCCCUCUUGUGGCGGAGCUAACGCGUUAAGCAAGCCGCCUGGGAAGUACGGUCGCAAGAUUA